rnacentral:lncRNA from 1 species
AUUUCUUUUAUCAUUGUAAUGGAUGACCAGAUCACAAAGAAAUUAGUUUUGAAUGGACCUUUGUCGGCGUAUGCGAGUGCAUUAACCCCUGAAGCAAAACAACGGUCGCUCCAACAACAAUAACUGAUAUAUUUCAGGAGAUUAAAGGCAAAAGGAAGAAGGAAAUUAAGACGGUUCAGGCCAGUGGAUCAGCGUCAUUGCCACCCUCAGAAGAACUGCACAAGUUGUAUGCCCUGGUACCAAAUGCAUCUUUUUUUUACAUCAGUCUCCAUACCAGGACUAACAGAUAACCUCCCCACUGAUCACAAUCUGCCAUGUAUCCAAAAAUAUCCAAAAUUGUUAACAACAUUCAGUGGAACACAGUUGGAAGAUAAUUCUAAUUUUGAGACCUACAGCAUUUCCAAACAACAAGCUGCUAACUUGGAAAUAGCCACAAGGAAUCAAGCUGUCAGUCCCCUGUGGUACCAACAUAGGAUGGGUAGAGUAACGGCAUCCAAGGCCCAUGACAUUUUAACACGCAGAGACACGACAUCUCCAGAUAAUCUUGUAAGGCGCAUUGUUGGAUAUGUUUCGUAUGACUUGUCAAAGAAAGAAGCUGUGAAAUGGGGAAUCGAUCACGAAGACGAAUGUAGAGUUGCCUAUAGUAAGCAUCAGACUGGGUCUCAUUUCUUGGAGCUAGUCCCGAUGGCUAUAUUGACUGUCAGUGUUGUGGGAAAGGUACCCUGGAAAUUAAAUGUCCUUUUAAGCAUAGGGACAAGACUGUACAGGUAGCAGCUGCAACAGAUAAGGAUUUUUGUCUUGAUUCAUCUAUGCAGCUUAAAGCGAAUCACAGAUAUUACAGUCGAGUACAAUUUCAAAUGUACAUUACAAAAUGCCAAUAUUGUGAUUUUGUUGUCUAUACCAAGUGUAAGCCUGCACCAAGUAUGGUCAUUGUACGACUUUCCAUUGAUGUCGACUUCUGUCAGAGUCUGAUUGCUAAAUGUGAACAUUUUGUAAACAACUUUGUCAAAAAUGAGUUGGUGUCUCGCAAACUGGAAAACCAGCCAGUAGUUACUUCUACCCAUAAAGAAGAUAACAGUGAUCAAACAUGGUGCAUUUGUGCUGAAGUAGAAUAUGGUCGAAUGAUCAAGUGCGACAAUGAAGACUGCCCAUAUCAGUGGUUUCACUACAAGUGUGUGAACAUUCGCAGGAAGCCUAGAGGGAAAUGGUUUUGUGCUAGCUGUGACAAAUAAAUAACUAUUCAUAGUCAUGAACAAUGUUCAGAAAUUGAACAAAAAUUGUGAAAUUGGUGGCCUUAAAUUUUAUUUAUAAAGUAUGUAUUUUGAAACAAUAAAAUGGAUAUAGCUACUGUUAGCUGAUGAUUAGUGUAAUAAACACCAAUAAAGUUAUUAAAUACACUAUCAGGGCUUCUAGAAUUUUAAAAAAACCUUCUUUUUUUUUUUUUUACUAGCCAUGGGGCAUGGCCACAGUACUUAAUUACUAGCCUGUUAUUGAAAUUCACUACCAUAUUAUAUAAUUAUAGAAUCCCCGAUAAUUUAAUCGUGGACAUGUUACAAAAUAAAAGACAGAAUUAUGUAUAUACCAUUUUGAAGCAAAAUACAAGUUAAAAAAUCUAAGAAACAAGUUUUGGUUGUAAAUUACAUAGAGCUGAACAAAUGGUGACUAUGCUGUCUGAAUGGGGAACCAUGUGCAUACUCAUACUACUACUCAGAAUGUUCCAGUUUUUCAGUCUUUCAAUGGCUCUUUCCACAUGUAUGCGUACAUUAGCAAUUUUUCUGGUCUGCUCAACUUCCCGAGCACUAAGCUGCGACUUUCCUCUGGUGAAGGCUGGUAUUACCAGUGUCGCAUUACGAUUUGCCAAGUCCUCUGCUAUCAAAAAUCCUCUAUCUGCCAAAACUUCAUCGCCAUAUUCUAAUUUGUCCAAAUAACCACUUCUCUGAGUAAUAACUUUAUCAGAUGUCCUACCUCCAAAUGCCCUGGAUACAUAAGAAAUUGCUCCUGUUGCAGUUAUAGACACAAGAAAUUUAAUGGUAUUGUUGUGUUUGUAAUUUGACCAUGUUUGGGCCCUUGCUGUAAGUGGUCCAGGUCUCUGAAUAAAAACUUCAAAACAGUCGAUAAUACUAACACAUUUUGGAUAUGUUAUUGUAAUAAUAUUUGGCAUAUUGCGUUUUAGACUGUCUUUGUCUGGCCACUGAAUAAGAAAGGCAAGUGUCUCUGCUAACUUUGGCAGCCCCUGAUUAAGCAUUUCUGAGAUUGUGGUGACAGACACAUUAAAUCGAUAUGCCAAGUCCUGGUGCUGCAGAUUUAAUCUCAGUUUCAUAAUUAAGCACAUCAAAACACAUGUUGGUGAUAAAACUUUACACGAAGGCAAUGCCAAAGAGCAAAAUGACAACAGCCACAUAAACGGCGCUUUUGAAGUUACACCUGUGUAGAACCAAUUCUACGGUCGCUUGAAAUUGUCUGCUCCUCGAAGCUCAGCCGACUCGGGUUUUCUUUCAAAAUACAAUUCUCAGUCUGAAGCCUCCCCAGUUCUUCAUACAGCUGCUGAUUUUCAAUCCGUAGGGAAGCUAUUUUCCUUAUACAAAUACUGUGUGUCUCAGCAUGGGGUUGUGACUCUGAAAAAUAAUUUUAUUUUGCAUAUUAAGGGGUAUCAAAUUAAUACAUUAAAUUUUAUAAGUAUAAUCAUGCAAACCUUGACAUUCACCCCAAAACAUGUCUAUAUUAUGUACAUAAAAGAUCGCUAUACAUUAUGUACAUAACCAGUGCCUUGAUGCAGAUCACUAUGUGGCAGACAAUUAAUAUGCUGACGAAUUGUAUUUAAGCAAUAUAUACAUGUAGAUGUACCAAAAUGAAGUGUAAAUACUUGUCUGACUAGUAAAAAAAACAUUGUAACUUAAUUUGGUUUAAAAAAAGUUUAUUAAUACCUACUCUUAUUUAUUACCAUAAUGUACAUAUUUUAUAUUUAGCAUCUAUAAUUAGUUGUUGGGAGUGUUCACAUUAUACGUGAUUAAUAUGUGUGUUUGUGUAAUUAAUUAAAUUAAUAUUUCCCAAACUAUGUCCAAAAUAUUGAAAUUUGGAUCACAUAUACAUGUACAUGCAAAUAAAUGAUUGUCUACCUUCUG